AUUUUGACAUUUGUGCCCCCCGGCUGCCGGGGGAAAAUAGAUUUUACCUUUUAUUUUUAUGCAGUGAUCUGAAACUGAUGAUCUGGAACUUCUGAGUUCAAAGCAUUUCUCAUUGUAUUAAUCCAGCAUAUUCAGUUAAAGUUCUCAAUUUAGCAAACAAAUGCAAGGCAACAUCGCAGGAAAGCCCAUGUUUCUGAAGUAUAUCCGUAUCCGACGCCAUUAUGAAUGUUGGAUUUCUCAUUUCUCCGAGAAUGUUGUUCAGGACUUCAGGUCAUGGAAAUUGGUAGACAAAAGAUGAAAUAUGAAAUGGUCUGAAGCUGAACAUGGUUAAGGUAAGCAUGCUACGCAAACUGGAGGUGCGAAAGGCAGUGGAACGGUGCUCGGAAGGUGACGGAGGACAGGAUGACUGUGAAAUUGUACAGUACGAUGAGUAACCAGUUUACGGGAAGGUUUAGAUUUUUCCCUAUCGCGUAGCUCCGAUCCAUUAUGCGCUAAGUUGGCGUUAAUCUUACUUGUUUUAGAGGAAAUGGCAUGCAGAAUGUUGCGGAGGAAUUUGACCAAAAGGAUGCAUAAGAUAGUAUAGAAUCUUCACUCUCACGGAGAAACAGCGAAUUAAUUGCGUUGAUGAAUUAACGAUUUGCCAUGACUGCUAAUUAACGAAAGAAUUGUUUGCAGAUGAUAGUAAAUUACUGAUGAAGCUUCACGAUUCUCAACUACUCAACACAUGCUGCGAUGGAAGACCACACUGAGGGAAGAAAGAGCUCUCCAUCAGUGAGAGGAGAUGAUUUGGACUUGGUGGAAUACCUGAAGUCUUCAGCAGUCGCGCCGGCAUCUGUGUUUCUGCUUUCGUUCCAGCACAUUUCUAUGUCGGUAGCAUGUUGGGCGUAACAAUGGAAAAUCAAGUAUGCUGAUCUGAAGAAAACAAACAAAAGCGAGGUCGCAGAUUUCAUUUGGUAGGAGCUUGGUAUUCAGCGGUGUUUACUUAGAGUAAAAUACACGACUUUGCUAGAGAG
rnacentral:lncRNA from 1 species